UACGGGGGGGGCAAGCGUUGUUCGGAAUUACUGGGCGUAAAGGGCUCGUAGGCGGCCCUCUCAGUCGGAUGUGAAAUCCCCAGGCUCAACCUGGGAAUGGCAUCCGAUACUGGAGGGCUUGAAUUCGGGAGAGGGAUGCAGAAUUCCAGGUGUAGCGGUGAAAUGCGUAGAUAUCUGGAGGAAUACCGGUGGCGAAGGCGGCAUCCUGGACCGAGAUUGACGCUGAGGAGCGAAAGCUAGGGGAGCAAACGGG
rnacentral:rRNA from 1 species